GUCCCCUCCCCUAAAAUUUCAGGCCUUGUGUCUUUAGUAGAAAGGAUUAUUCCUUCCUUUGCAAAUAUUACAAUUAAGUGGAUCACCUAUUUCCUGUAAGGGAAAGUGGAGGCCAUUCAAAAGUAUCAGAAAAAUAUUUGACCGGGUCUCAUAGCACUCCUAGAAGAGGAAAUGAUUUGCACCAAAAGAAGUCAAUAAAUAUAAAAGUGCAUUAAUCGCACAAAAGAGAAAGCCACAAUAGCCUUCUGCAACUGGAAUAGAAAAAUGUCUGGAAGAAGUGCGGCCUUCUGUAGUUUAUAUCUGCCGAGAAAGGCAAUGUGGGACUGCGGUAGCUAUCUGCAGCAAUGAAGAGCAAGUGCACAGGAUGGCUACAAUGACCUGUUCCUCCGACCAGUUUGUUAUGUUCUCCUUAUACAUGGGACGUCGUGUGACCAAGAUCAGGAUCUCAAACAUACCUCCUCAUAGGGACCAGGCCAGAUUAAAGGCUAUGCUAGUGGAGCAUGGGGAGACAAACAUGAAAACAAGCCCCACCACAAAACAACAGGAAUUUUCAAUGGAGUUCCAGGUUUUGGUUGCUCCAGAAGAAGUUCAUGCUAUCCCAGAAUUUUUCUGUUUCAGAGAGUGCAAGCAGAUGCAGGUAAUUGUGGAUAGUAGGAAACCUAGAUGUUAUAUUUGUGGCAAAACUGAUUACCUUAAAACUUUCUUCUCCCACUGUGGAGAAGUCAAGAGAAGUGUCUCACUCUGAACUGUUAUUCCCAACACCAAAUCCAUUGCAAACCCAAAGAGGAAAGGAGUGGCAACUACAAGGACAAACACAGGAGCAGAUGGACAAAAAGGCAAACAGAAAUCGUACUGACUCCUUGGAUAUAGAAGGGGCCUCAGAUGAGACAAAAAUACCUGAGUGGGUGAUUGUUGAGCUACCCCCAAAAAGAAAAAAGAGGGAGAGUGGGUGAAAAUACAGAUGUAACCCCUAAAUCCCAAAAGUUUGUGGGCACCUAGCUGAUUAAUCUCAAAAAUGUUGUGUCCAAUCUCAAAACCAAUGUUGCAAACCCCCAAUUUCAGCAACAACAAGAGAGAUAAAACCAACUACAGCAACAUUGAGAACUGAAACAGCAUUUUCAGUGGCAGCAAGAAACAACAGAAUCAGCAACAUGUGAAACUUAAAUAAAAACAACCAAAACAAUAACAGUUACAUCAACUGCAAGAGAGGGAACUAGUAGAACAGCAUCUCUCAGGUGAGCCUCUCAAUUACGCAGUCCUACAGAAGGAGAAUGAGGAAUUAAUGGAGUUUGUAAACUCAAACGAAAACAAAAUUUUGACAAUGAGCUAGGGUCUUGAUGCUCUCACUAUUGUCUAAACCCUAGAAGGGAAGGUUCUGAUGAGAACAACUCCCACCUUGUAUUGUAUUUUGAAGAAACAUUUCCCACAUGAUGUGGGAGUUUGCACAAACUUAUUGGAUGAAAGAGUAUUGGAAGGCCCAUUUGAAGACCCUGGAAAAAGACCAACACAAGACUAGGUUAAGUGACUGACACUUCUUUUGUUUUUCCCCUCCUCGAGAACAGUAAUUCGAAAAAUAGGUUGUGUAAAUUCUCAUGAGGGCAAUGUGGAACAGUCACCUGCUCCACAACCUCAAGUCAGUAUGUCUGGAUGCAGCAGCCAUCAGUGAAAUUAAGAUUUCUGAAACACAAUUGCUUGUCUACUUCUAGACAACUACAAGGUUUUAUGUCUCCUCCAGUUGACCUGGAUCAAAUGGUGUCAUGGUGCUAUUUCAGAAAGACCUUGACAUGAAGGUGUGUCUGAUUUUCUUAGACCCACUUGGUGAGAUGGUGGUCUUGGACAUAGCCAGCAAGGAAUGCGACAGUGGAGCCUUCAGACUAGUGGCAGUCUAUGCUCCAGUAGGAGCUGGAUAGCAGGAUUUCUUUAGACAACUGGAGACUUUCCUAGGAACAUCUCGCUUAUUAGUGUUAGUGGGCGAUUGGAAUGACAUUUUAGAUACAAGCAAAGAUUAUGUGGGAGUAGUGGAUAGGAAGGUGGGGUGCAAAAACUUUGAUAACCUUUUCUGGCAUUUCUAACUGUAUGACAGGAUUCAUCUCAAUUUCCAAAAUACACCAAUGUGGACUUGGUCAAAUUGUAAUGGAUCAUACUUAGAUAGAGUUUUUAUUAGGCUUGUAGAUAGGCAUCCUUCAUGAUGUGGUGCCAUGUGUUGAGACUGACAGCUGCAGAAAUACCUAACUUACUGCCAUGGUGUGAACAACAGUGAUGAAAACAAAGAUGAGGUGGGUAUCCUUUGUGCAACAUGCCUUCUGCUGCACAUCUCAUUCACAGAGCUACAGUCAUAGGUCAAACAUAGACCAAGAUUGGGUGUUUAGUAUCUAGAAUGUUGCCCUCAUUUUCAGAUCGUUGGCUAUUCAUAGAUCACAAAUUCAAGACCUUUACAGUCAACUUAGAAAAAAACCAGUUACUGAAAGAUGAAUGUGCCCUUCCUGGUGAGGUAAGAUUUCAGUGCUUAGACUAGUUAAACAGGAAGUGAAGAGAGCCAUCGUCAACAACGGGGUGGAUAUCCUUAAAAAGGAAAAUCAGAGAGGUGUCAGUUAGUUUUAGCAAAGAGAUUGCUUUAGAAAACAAUAAAAUAGAAAAUAAACUAGUUAGUAGUUUAGAAGAUGCACUUAGAAGGGAAAUAGCGAACAAUGUGCUGCUGGCGAGAAUGGCACUUAACCAUUUCUUUGACAUGCAGCAUGAAGGCUGUGUUAUCCGAGAUAGGGUGCAUGCACUGAAACAUGAGGGCUUGGAAGCCAUUGGUUGGUCCCAGCUAAUGAAGGCACAGCAUGGCAGCGUGCUCUCUGAUUCCAAACAGACGAGCACAACUUUCGGCUGCACUUUGCUGAGCUCUUUUUCAAGAGUGGCAGACUUGAGACAACAGUGUUGCAAGAAAGCCAAUUUUAGUGGAGGAAGUGGCAAAUGUACUGAGCUGCUGUGUGGUAUGCAAAUCACCAGGAUUGGAUGGUCUACACUAUGAGCUAUAUUUCUACAUGUCUGAUUUGUUUGCUCCAGUUUUGGCAGCUGUCUACUGCACCUGGCAUCAGAUGGAGCAUUCCCGGUCAUGUGAGCUGGAGAGUGGUGACUCUGCUGAGAAAGGAUCUAAAUAAGGGAGACAUGAUCAAAAAUUUCCAUAAAUCUGCUCAACACUGAAAUAAAGAGUAUUGAAAUAUGAA
rnacentral:lncRNA from 1 species